ensembl:lncRNA
CCCCCUAAAAGUGUAGUAAAGAUAAAAAGAUUAACUAUUGUUGUGUGAUUAUUGAACAGUCGCGUGCUCCUUCACCACAUUAUUUAUUAACUGUUUUGUCGCACAAUAACACGUGCAACUUUUGUAUUAAUAUGGACAAUCAUAAGUAAACCCAUACAACAUAAAGUAAUUCCCCCUUAAAUAAAGUUCUGUGAAGUGAAAGUCCACGUUUUAAAGCGAGAGUUAAGAUAUUUUUUUUGCAUAUUUCGAGAGCAAAUUCUACUUAGAAACGCACUGCUACAGCUUUGAGGGCUAGUCUUCACUCCACGCCUUUUCACCCAAAAGUGAAUCACGCGAUUAUAAUCUAGAGUUUAAAGAGCCCUGCUCUGUUCAACUACUAAAUGUGCAGUUUACAUCUGAAAUAAGCGAUAAGAGCAACUAUUAACCCGCCAGGUAAGAGAACUCAUUUCACGCGCUGUGGUGAUGUGGGGUUAUUGUGGUUGACAGCUGAAGCCCUUUAGACAUACUUGCAGCUACAAGUUCGCAGACAGUUAUGUGUUGAAAGGGAAAUGAAUCAGCCCUUAAACGCUUUUAAAUGCGGACUCAUUCAGCAGGAAAGCACGGGGUUUAGACUGGCCUGCGAGUGCCGAUAGUUUUGAUUAAAAGGAAAGAUACAUGGUGAACGAACUAAAAGCUGUUUCAUUCUCGAUGAAUAUUUCCCCCUUGGUCCGGCUAUUCUGGCAAAGGAAGUAUAGAGAGGCCACAGCCUCCACACUGCAUGCAUAAGCACCAUAGUGUUGUGGCACUGGAAAAGAUAUAUUUUGGAGAACCUGAAAGUCAGAAAAAGCCGUGUGGUGUUAGAGUUAUCACGUCAAAACUUAAACUAACAGCUCCUGCUCUACUAGUUUCCUGCUGAUCCAGUACGGCUGCCGCUAACACUGGACAGAUGUGUUUUCCUCCAUGACAGCUCAUGACUAAUCUGUCCCAGCGGGCUCUGCUCUGCACCGUGUUACAUUCAAAACGCUAACUAAUGUAUCCGCUAUUGUUUGGCACAAAUUGCCAGUUUCAGUGCUUUCUGUUCAGACAUACUGUAGUAUUCUUGGUAAUAUUUUGGUUAGCUAAGGCAUUGUUUCCCAAAGUUUAGCUUCCAUCUUUGAAGUUGAAAGCAGAUUGUAUGUAGUUUUAACUUCAUGCACAUUGUUUGCCUGGGUGGUUUUAUUUAGUGGGUCACUGCAGCAGUGGAUGUACUUCAUCCUCUGGAGUCAGAUUCAUUCUCUCUCUCUCCCUCUCACAUUCUCUCUCUCUCUCUCUCUCUGAUCAAUUCAGCAGGCUUUAAGGUGACCUUUGUGGAGGAAUGUUGGUGUGUUUGGCCCUCUGCAUUUGUUCAGUCAUCAAAAACGUGG